rnacentral:lncRNA from 1 species
AACCUCAAGGAAUAAAGAGAAAAUAAGGAAAUAAAAGAAAUAAAGAAGAACUACUUGAGCCGGCAUUGAUCUUAUAUAACUAUGCAAAGAAUUGUUAGUAGAACAUCUAAUCAAUAUAACUAGAGUUAGAACUAAGUAUGAGGUUCUGGGGAGAUCCCCGCAACUAGACAUCCAGCCAAUAGGGACUUUACAGAACUCCUACCGGAAUACCUGAUCAUGGGGGAAUACCAGGGAUGACAGGGCUGUCACUACCCUGCCACCUACCCCUC